rnacentral:rRNA from 1 species
ACGCUCGACACCUAGGAGGCAGCAGUCGGGAAUAUUGCGCAAUGGAGGAAACUCUGACGCAGUGACGCCGCGUGCAGGAAGAAGGUUUUCGGAUUGUAAACUGCUUUAGACAGGGAAGAAAGAAAUGACAGUACCUGUAGAAUAAGCUCCGGCUAACUACGUGCCAGCAGCCGCGGUAAUCUGAGCGGGCUGGCAAGGC